rnacentral:pre_miRNA from 1 species
UAUUAAAAAUAUCAUCUAUUUGUACUAUAAAAAUUGAUAUGAUUGAUGGAAUAAUUAAAGAGUGAUACGUGGUGUGUCAUGUGUACCUCAUGUUAUGUAUAAUUACUAAUUUGUAAUAGUAAAAAUAGAUGGGAUUUUUAAUA